UCGCGGCUUAUCACCGGCAGUCCCCUUAGAGUGCCCAACUGAAUGAUGGCAACUAAGGGCGAGGGUUGCGCUCGUUGCGGGACUUAACCCAACAUCUCACGACACGAGCUGACGACAGCCAUGCAGCACCUGUGUUCCCGCCAGCCGAACUGAAGGAUCCCAUCUCUGGAAUCCACACGGGACAUGUCAAGGGCUGGUAAGGUUCUGCGCGUUGCUUCGAAUUGAGCCACAUGCUCCGCCGCUUGUGCGGGCCCCCGUCAAUUCCUUCGAGUUUUAGCCUUGCGGCCGUACUCCCCAGGCGGAACACUUAACGCGUUGGCUUCGGCACAGGGGGAUUCGACUCCCCCCACACCUAGUGUUCAUCGUUUACGGCAUGGACUAC
rnacentral:misc_RNA from 1 species